CGCUGGCGGCGUGCCUAAUACAUGCAAGUAGAACGCUGAAGGAGGAGCUUGCUUCUCUGGAUGAGUUGCGAACGGGUGAGUAACGCGUAGGUAACCUGCCUGGUAGCGGGGGAUAACUAUUGGAAACGAUAGCUAAUACCGCAUAAUAGUAGAUGUUGCAUGACAUUUGCUAACAGGUGCAAUUGCAUCACUACCAGAUGGACCUGCGUUGUAUUAGCUAGUUGGUGGGGUAACGGCUCACCAAGGCGACGCUACAUAGCCGACCUGAGAGGGUGAUCGGCCACACUGGGACUGAGACACGGCCCAGACUCCUACGGGAGGCAGCAGUAGGGAAUCUUCGGCAAUGGACGGAAGUCUGACCGAGCAACGCCGCGGGAGUGAAGAAGGGUGUCGGAUCGUAAAGCUCUGUUGUAAGAGAAGAACGAGUGUGAGAGUGGAAAGUUCACACUGUGACGGUAUCUUACCAGAAAGGGACGGCUAACUACGUG
rnacentral:rRNA from 1 species